rnacentral:rRNA from 1 species
GACGAACGCUGGCGGCGUGCUUAACACAUGCAAGUCGAACGGAAAGGCCCCUUUGGGGGUACUCGAGUGGCGAACGGGUGAGUAACACGUGAGUAACCUGCCCUUGACUUCGGGAUAACUUCAGGAAACUGGGGCUAAUACCGGAUAGGAAUCCUUGCUGCAUGGUGGGGGUUGGAAAGCUUCGGCGGUUUUGGAUGGACUCGCGGCUUAUCAGCUUGUUGGUGGGGUAGUGGCUUACCAAGGCUUUGACGGGUAGCCGGCCUGAGAGGGCGACCGGCCACAUUGGGACUGAGAUACGGCCCAGACUCCUACGGGAGGCAGCAGUGGGGAAUAUUGCACAAUGGGCGGAAGCCUGAUGCAGCAACGCCGCGUGCGGGAUGACGGCCUUCGGGUUGUAAACCGAUUUCAGCAGGGGCGAAGCUUGUGGUGACGGUACCUGCAGAAGAAGCACCGGCUAACUACGUG